rnacentral:rRNA from 1 species
AGUGAACGCUGGCGGUAGGCCUAACACAUGCAAGUCGAACGGCAGCACAGUAAGAGCUUGCUCUUACGGGUGGCGAGUGGCGGACGGGUGAGGAGUACAUCGGAAUCUACUUUUUCGUGGGGGAUAACGUAGGGAAACUUACGCUAAUACCGCAUACGACCUACGGGUGAAAGCAGGGGAUCUUCGGACCUUGCGCGAUUGAAUGAGCCGAUGUCGGAUUAGCUAGUUGGCGGGGUAAAGGCCCACCAAGGCGACGAUCCGUAGCUGGUCUGAGAGGAUGAUCAGCCACACUGGGACUGAGACACGGUCCAGACUCCUACGGGAGGCAGCAGUGGGGAAUAUUGGACAAUGGGCGCAAGCCUGAUCCAGCCAUACCGCGUGGGUGAAGAAGGCCUUCGGGUUGUAAAGCCCUUUUGUUGGGAAAGAAAAGCAGCAGGUUAAUACCCCGCUGUUCUGACGGUACCCAAAGAAUAAGCACCGGCUAACUUCGUG